GUGAGUGACACAGAAGACGGGUGAUUUCUGCAUUUUCAACUGAGGGAUGGAUGGCAAACUCCAUGCAGGAGGAGAUGAAGACAAAGACCUGGAUCUUCCCAUGGAAUCUUGGGGCUUUCUCCUUCUUCCUCCUGAAAGAUUUCCAUUUCAUGAUCUUGCUGUUCGGGUGAGGGAGAAAGGACAAGAUGGAAGAAGGUAAAGAAGGUAAACAAGAUGGCACAGUUCCGGGUUCUUCAUCAGCGACUUUCCCGUGCCCGGGAAAAACAUCAACUGUCUGCGCCUGCGCAUUGUGACGUCAAAACAAAGAAAUCGAAACUUACCCAGCCACGCCUAUGAAGACGCCCUUACCCCCGCCCCCGUCCUGCCCACCUCAAGCCCCAUCCAUAAAAGGCUGCUCCCGGAAGACAUCCGCGGGAACGUCCUCGGCCCCUCCUCAUAUGUGGACCCAGGAACCUCGCCCGAGAACGCUGGCCUCGGCCUCCACCCCCGGAGACCGGUGAACCUCGCCCCUUCCUCCUUCACACUGGCUAGCUAAUAAAGCUUUUUUACCUUGC